rfam:Gossypium hirsutum cultivar TM-1 chromosome 20, whole genome shotgun sequence
AAACCGUGGUGUGGGCAUUUCUGAAUCAACAUUUUAAAAUGCUCCCAUGCUUCAUGAAAACUUUCCCCCUCUAAAUGUUUGAUCAUUAAAAUUUCCCUUCUUAGUUA